rnacentral:rRNA from 1 species
GUAGGUGGCAAGCGUUGUCCGGGAAUUAUUGGGGCGUAAAGCGCGCGCAGGCGGUUCUUUAAGUCUGAUGUCGAAAGCCCACGGGCUCAACCGUGGAGGGUCAUUGGAAACUGGAGAACUUGAGUACAGAAGAGGAAAGCGGAAUUCCACGUGUAGCGGUGAAAUGCGUAGAGAUGUGGAGGAACACCAGUGGCGAAGGCGGCUUUCUGGUCUGUAACUGACGCUGAGGCGCGAAAGCGUGGGGAGCAAACAGGAUUAGAUACCCUGGUAGUCCACGCCGUAAACGAUGAGUGCUAAGUGUUAGGGGGUUUCCGCCCCUUAGUGCUAGCAGCUAACGCAUUAAGCACUCCGCCUGGGGAGUACGGCCGCAAAGGCUGA